rnacentral:rRNA from 1 species
GGAUUAGAAACCCUGGUAGUCCACGCCGUAAACGGUGGGCGCUAGGUGUGGGGACCAUUCCACGGUCUCUGUGCCGCAGCUAACGCAUUAAGCGCCCCGCCUGGGGAGUACGGACGCAAGGCUAAAACUCAAAGGAAUUGACGGGGGCCCGCACAAGCGGCGGAGCAUGUGGCUUAAUUCGAUGCAACGCGAAGAACCUUACCUGGGCUUGACAUGUUCGGAAAAACUCGUAGAGAUACGGGGUCCGCAAGGGCCGAUCACAGGUGGCGCAUGGUUGUCGUCAGCUCGUGUCGUGAGAUGUUGGGUUAAGUCCCGCAACGAGCGCAACCCUCGUUCUAUGUUGCCAGCGCGUAAUGGCGGGG